rnacentral:rRNA from 1 species
AGUGAACGCUGGCGGUAGGCCUAACACAUGCAAGUCGAACGGCCGCACAGUAAGAGCUUGCUCUUACGGGUGGCGAGUGGCGGACGGGUGAGGAAUACAUCGGAAUCUACUUUUUCGUGGGGGAUAACGUAGGGAAACUUACGCUAAUCCCGCAUACGACCUACGGGUGAAAGCAGGGGAUCUUCGGACCUUGCUCGAUUUCAUGAGCCGAUGUCGGAUUAGCUAGUUGGCGGGGUAAAGGCCCACCAAGGCGACGAUCCGUAGCUGGUCUGAGAGGAUGAUCAGCCACACUGGAACUGAGACACGGUCCAGACUCCUACGGGAGGCAGCAGUGGGGAAUAUUGGACAAUGGGCGCAAGCCUGAUCCAGCCAUACCGCGUGGGUGAAGAAGGCCUUCGGGUUGUAAAGCCCUUUUGUUGGGAAAGAAAAGCAGCAGGGUAAUACCCCGCUGUUCUGACGGUACCCAAAGAAUAAGCACCGGCUAACUUCGUG